UGAUUGAGUUAUUUUGCUAGUGACUGACUCAUUGAAAAAUAGUUUACUUUAAAAAUCUAGUAUUUAGUUUAAUAUGGAAACUUCUCUUGUUAACAAUGGCCUCAUCUUUCCUUAGAUGAAGAUGAGGAAAGUGAGGAAUCAAGUGAAGAAGAAUCUAGCUUGGAGAGUGAUGAGGAUGAGUCUGGAUCUGAAGAUGAGGUUUUUGAUGAUUCUAUUUGCCCAUCAAAUUGUGAUGUGACUCUUUUUGGGCUGGCCCUUCAACUUCGAGAGAAAAGGCUGGACAUUGAGGAGGCUUUAGUUGAAGAAAAGAAAAUUGUUGAUAACCUCAAAAAGGAAUAUGAGACAUUGUCAAAAAAAGUAGGCUUAUUUAUCCUCUCAAAAUGCUAUACAUUCUCCUCGCUAUAAUAUUGCCAUUUCAUAGCAAUGACAAUGUGAGGACUUCUCAGAAAAAAACAUUUCAAAUGUUAAG
rnacentral:lncRNA from 1 species